rnacentral:tRNA from 1 species
GGCUCCGUAGCUCAGAUGGAUAGAGCAACCGCCUCCUAAGCGGUAGGCCAUGCGUUCGAAUCGCAUCGGGGCCACCA